ACUCAACACGGGGAAACUCACCAGGUCCAGACACAGUGAGGAUUGACAGAUUGAGAGCUCUUUCUUGAUUCUGUGGGUGGUGGUGCAUGGCCGUUCUUAGUUGGUGGAGUGAUUUGUCUGCUUAAUUGCGAUAACGAACGAGACCUUAACCUGCUAAAUAGCCCGUACUGCUUUGGCAGUUCGCCGGCUUCUUAGAGGGACUAUCGGCUCAAGCCGAUGGAAGUUUGAGGCAAUAACAGGUCUGUGAUGCCCUUAGAUGUCCUGGGCCGCACGCGCGUUACACUGACAGAGCCAGCGAGUACCUCCUUGACCGGAAGGUCCGGGUAAUCUUGUUAAACUCUGUCGUGCUGGGGAUAGAGCAUUGCAAUUAUUGCUCUUCAACGAGGAAUCCCUAGUAAGCGCAAGUCAUCAGCUUGCGUUGAUUACGUCCCUGCCCUUUGUACACACCGCCCGUCGCUACUACCGAUUGAAUGGCUCAGUGAGACCUUCGGACUGGCCCAGAGAGGUGGGCAACUACCACUCAGGGCCGGAAAGUUGUUCAAACUUGGUCAUUUAGAGGA
rnacentral:rRNA from 1 species